CAACACUGACAACUCUUUGGGAAUCAAGGGAUGACAAUUUCUUUUUGGAAUGGUCCAGCAAUUUACUGAAAUCUUUGUUUAAAUCAUCUUUUCCACGUGGUUUAUUUUGAAAGGAUAACUUCUCCACACCUGCUACAAGUUCGGCAGACUUCGGCGAGCACCGAACUGAAAAGGCUAAGGAAUCAUUUUGUAUUGACUUGCAGCAAGUAAACGGAAGUUUUGAAUAUAUGAUUGCGGAAUGAAGUUGAGCAAUGCUGUUAAGAAGAAACAUGACUGGAAAACAUUUAUCCUCUGUGUCGCAUGUGAUUACAGAAGAAAAGCAGGCUUUGACUAAGCAGAAAUCAUAGCAUUAAUUUAAUGACUACUAGCUACGCUUUCAGAUUCAAAUCUUCUGGCAGUAGACACUUUCCAAACGAUUUUUCAACAUGUCAUAAGGCCAAUAAAGAGAACACUUGAUGAUAUUUUGGUUUAAGAUCUCUAGCGCAUAUCGAAAUAAUCCCUGGAGAUGGUGCUAAUUAUACACAAUUCUAAUAAGAAAAAGACAUGGUUUUAUUAAUGGGUGAAAUGGCGAUGUUUUUCACAUUUUCACUAAAAGUUGUCAUGCUGAUAGGCAUGGAAAAUGUUUUUGAUUUUACUAACAUGGCGACAAUGACUUAGCAUAUAUACUUAUUACAACCCAAUGGACACAUGUGUAAUAAUGUAGUUAACGAUAUCUGUUCUUGAAUGAUUUUGUAUUGUUAAAAAUUUUAGGUAUUUAGAGUAAUUAUCACAUAUUAGCUACAAGGUAUUUUCAAGUUUGAU